rnacentral:lncRNA from 1 species
UACAGGGUCUCACUUUGUCACCCAGGCUGGAAUGCAUUGGCAUGAACACGUCUCACUGCAGCCUCAACCUCCCAGGCUGAAGUGACCCUCCAACUCUGCUUUCACAGUAGCUGUGAUAUGGUUUGGCUGUGUCCCCACCCACAUCUCAUCUUAAAACCCAGUGGGAGGUAAUUGAAUCAUGGGGGCAAGUCUUUCCUGUGCUGUUCUUGUGAUAGUGAAUAAGUCUCAUGAGAUCUGAUGGUUUUUAAAAGAGUUCUGGCUGGGCAUGGUGGUGGGCACCUGUAAUCCAAACUACUAGGGAGGCUGAGGCAGAGUGAAUUGCUUGAACCUGGGAGAAGGAGGUUGCAGUGAGCCGAGAUUGCACCGCUGCACUCCAGCCUGGGCAAAAUUGAAGACUCUGUCUCCAAAAAAAAAAAAAAGGAGUUCCUCUGCAUAAGCUCUCUCUCUUUGCCUGCUGCCAUCCAUGUAAGAUGUGACUUGCUCUUCCUUGCCCUAUGAUUGUGAGUCUUUCCCCAGCCACGUGGAACUGUAAGUCCAAAUAAACCUCUUUCUUUUGUAAAUUGCCCAGUCUUGGGUAUGUCUAUCAGCAGCAUGGAAAUGGACUAAUACAGUAAAUUGGUACCAGUAGAGUGGGGUGUUGCUGAAAAGAUACCUGAAAAUGUGAAAGUGACUUUGGAACUGGGUAGCAGGCAAACAUUGGAACAGUUUGGAGGGCUCAGAAGAAGACAGGAAAAUGUAGGAAAGUUUGGAACUUCCUAGAGACUUGUUGAAUGGCAUUGACAAAAAUGCUAAUAGUGAUACGAACAAUAAGAUCCAGUCUGAGGUGGUCUCAGAUGGAGAUGAGGAACUUGUUGGGAACUGGAGCAAAGGUGACUCUUGUUAUGUUUUAGCAAAGAGACUGGUGACAUUUUGCCCCUGCCCGAGAGAUUUGUGGAACUUUGAACUUGAGGGAGAUGAUUUAGGGUAUCUGGUGGAAGACAUUUCUUUUUUUUUUUUUGUGACGGAGUCUUGCAUUGUCGCCUGGGGUGGAGUGCAAUGGUCUGAUCUCAGCUUACUGGGUUCAAGCAAUUCUGUCUCAGCCUCCCGAGUAGCUGGGAUUACAGGCGUCCGCCACCACGCCCUUCUAAUUUUUUGUAUUUUUAGUAGAGACGGUUUCACUAUGUUGGCCAGUGGAAGACAUUUCUAAGCAGCAAAGCAUUCAAGAGGUGGCUUGGGUGUUGUUAAAGGCAUUCUGUUUUGACUGGGUGCGGUGGUGCACACCUAUAAUCCCAGCACUUUGGGAGGCCGAGGAGGGUGGAUCAAGAGGUCAGGAGUUCAAGACCAGCCUGGCCAAUAUGGUGAAACCCUGUCUCUACUGGAAAUACAAAAAUUAGCUUGGCAUGGUGGUGUGCGCCUGUAGUCCCAGCUUCUCGGGAGGCUGAGGCAGGAGAAUCGCCUGGACCCGGGAGGUGGAGGUUCCAUUGAGCCAAGAUCAUGCCACUGACUCCAGCCUGGGCAACAGACUGAGACUCUGUCUCAAAAAAAAAGAAAAAAAAAAAGGCAUUCAGUUUUAUAAGGGAAGCAGAGCAUAAAAGUUUGGGAAAUUUGCAGCCUGACAAUGUGAUAGUAAAGAAAAUCCCAUUUUCUGAGAGGAAAUUCAAGCUGGCUGCAAAAAUUUGCAUAAGUACCAAGGAGCCGAAUGUUAAUAUCCAAGACAAUGGGGAAAAUAUCUCCCAGACAUGUCAGAGGUCUUCAUGGCAGCCCCUCCCAUCAACAGGUCCAGAGGCCUAGGAGGAAAAAGUGGUUUUGUGGGCAGCACCCAGGGUCCCCAUGCUAUGUGCAGCCUAGGGACUUGGUGCCGUGCGUCUCAGCUCCUCCAGUGGUGACUGAAAGGGGCCAACAUAGAGCUCGGGCUGCUGCUUCAUGGGGUGGAAGUCCCAAAUCUUGGCAGCUUCCAUGUGGUGUUGAGCCUGCGAGUACAUAGAAGUCAAGAAUUGGGGUUUGGGAACCUCCAUCUAGAUUUCAGAAGAUAUAUGGAAAUUCCUGGAUGCCCAGGCAGAAGUUUGCUGUAGGGGUGGGGCCUUCAUGGAGAACCUCUGCUAGAGCAGUGCAGAAGGGAAAUGUGGGGUCGGAGCCCCCACACAGAGUCCCCGCUGCGGCCCUGCCUGAUGGAGCUGUGAGAAGUGGACCACCGUUCUCCAGACCCCAGAAUGGUAGAUCCACCGACAGCUUGCACCGUGUGCCUGGAAAAGCUGCAGACACUCAAUGCCAGCCUAUGAAAGCAGCCUGGAGGGAGGCUUUACCCUGCAAAGCCACAGAAGUGGAGCUGCCCAAGACCAUGGGAAUCCACCUCUUGCAUCAGUGUGACCUGGAUGUGAGACAUGGAGUCAAAGGAUAUCAUUUUGAAGCUUUAAGAUUUGACUGCCCUGCUGGAUUUCAGACUUGCAUGGGUCCUGUAGCCCCUUUGUUUUGGCCAAUUUCUCCCAUUUGGAAUGGCUAUAUUUACCCAAUGCUUAUACCACCAUUCUAUCUAGGAAGUAAAUAACUUGCUUUUGAUUUUACAGGCUCAUAGGCAGAAGGGAUUUGCCUUGUCUCAGAUGAGACUUUGGACUGCGGACUUUUGAGUUAAUGCUGAAAUGAGUUAAGACUUCGGAGGACUAUUGGGAAGGCAUGAUUGGUUUUGAAAUGUGAGGACAUGAGAUUUGGGAGGGGCCAGGGGUGGAAGGAUACGGUUGGGUUCUGUGUCCCCACCCAAGUCUUAUCUUGUAGCUCCCAUAACCCAUGUGUCUUGGGAGGGACCUGGUAAUUCAAUCAUGUGGGCUGGAUGCGGUUGCUCAUGCCUGUAAUCCCAGCACUUUGGGAGGCCAAGGGGGAGAUCACUUGCGAUCAGGAGUUUGAGACCAGCCUGGCCAACAUGGUGAAACCCCAUCUAUACUAAAAAUACAAAAAUUAGCCAGGCACGGUGGUGGGCACCUGUAAUCCCAGCUACUUGGGAGGCUGAGGCAUGAGAAUCACUUGAACCUGGAGGCGGAGGUUGCAGUGAGCCGAGAUCGCACCACUGCACUCCAGCCUGGGCGUCAAAGUGAAACUUAGUCUUAAAAAAAAAAAAAAAAAGAAGAAUGGGAGUGGGUCUUUCCUGUGCUGUCCUCAUGAUAGAGAAUAAGUCUUACAAGAUCUGAUGGUUUUAAAAAUGAGAGUUAUUUCUCUCUUCUCUUGUCUGCCACCAUGUGAGUCAUGCCUUUCACCUUCCACCAUGAUUGUGAGGCCUCCCCAGCCACGUGGAACUGUAAGUCCA